UAAUGUGACUUUCAUAUAACAAAAAAGGAAAUAGAAGCCUGUUGUUUUAAUAUAUAUAAAAAAAAAAAUUAUGUCCCCUGGGACAUAAAAGUGCCCAAAGUUGAAGAAACACUCGCAUACUGAGGAUUUUUGCAAUGGCAAUACGUCAUGUCUUUCAUGUCUUCAAAUCAUAUUGCCACAUCACUUUGACAUUUCUCCUUUCUUUGAUUAUUUUCAUAGAAAAUGAUCCUUAAUUAUUACCUGUGUCUUUGAAUUAAUAUAUUAAGGCAACAUUUCUGAUAAUUCUGGUAAUUUCCUACCACUUAAUGUUUCGAGGCUUUUAACAAUUCUGACUUUACACUCUCUCCUUGUUACUCAAUUCCAGGAUGUAACCAAUUCCGGCUCUCACUUAAUCGGUUUUAAUCAGAUAUUUGAAACAACAGCUGAUUGAAUUACAUCGUAAAUUAAUUUAAGUUACUGAUGAGCUCAUAAAAUCCAUCUGCUUUAAUCAAACUGAAUUAAAGCAUAGAAAGGAUGGGAACGCUGAUAGCGCCUAAAUUCACGGCUGUAUUUCAUUCUCAGGGCUAAGCUAACCCAACCAUCUCUAGCUGCAUUCACUUUCAGGUAGUAUAUUUGACUUAAUUGCAACACUAGCAUGACACUUUAAUAUGACGUAGGCAUCAUCAAAGCGUUAUGUCUCUGUGAGGUACAGCGAAUAAACUGCUAUUUCUCGCUUUAAUCCCACUUUUGAAGGCCUGCGGCAUCCCACGGGUGGGAAUCUGUUGUGAGAUGGGCUGUCAGCUCACAAGAAAGGUGUCUAGGCCGGUUGUGCUUUUGGAGACAUGUUGGCCCAGGUGAUGAAGUGCGGCGCUGCAGGUUCUGUACUUUCAUCCAGUGCAAUCAGGCUCAAUGUGGACGGCUUUCGCAGCAAGGAGCCUUCCCAUCCGUCAAUUCAACCCCACACCAGUGUUCACGUCACUCUCCAUGAUGGUGGAUUAGGCCUCUCGGUGGAAAGCGCUAGUUCUUAUCUGGCAGGUGUAUGGCGAGUUCCCUUCCCAUGCUAAAAUCAUCACUGGCUGCUUUCCGCCGCUUGACAGGUGCUGCAAACGGAUGAGGACUUCAACGAUUGCUCUGUGCGUCUGGUUCAUAUCUUUAGGAGGCGAGGGACAUAUUUUGUUGUGCUUUUCAAAAUAAAUAAUCACUUAUCGCUGUGUUGUUAACUGUUUUUCUCUUUUUACUCCCAGUGAAUUACUUUGAUAGACGGAGUAUUUUCGCAAUUUAUCCCCUCCCAGAAUCGUAAUGAAGUGUUUUGCAUCUCUGACGCCUUUUCAGAAACGUCCUUUUGAAAUAGAGCGAGGAUGUGAAUAAUUUCACCCCGAAGCUCUAAGUCUGGUUUCCCUGAGCUACUUGAGGCAAAUUGAUCGCUCUCGACCGGCUGAAAUCUUUGCAUUCUUUACGGAUUUCUCCUUCUUUCUGUGUUUGUAUGGGGAAAAUGAGAUUGCUUGCUAGGGUGAUGAGACUCCAAAUGGCUGUCAUUUCUCCUGGAAUCAGAUGAAAGUGGCCGCGUCGCCUGCGGAGGAGCCCAGGGCAGCGAUCAGCACUCACAAUUUUCCUCUUGUCCUCUCUGCUGUUAUUGUAUGACUCUCUGGAGGGCCUCUCAUCUUAUCUGCAGCUCCAACCGCAGGGCCAUGCAGGGAGGCAAAGCCAUCUUCUAUAACUCCUCAUCUGGGCUGAGUGAUGGAGCGCCGGGCGGUGAGGAGAAAUUCUCCUCCCCACGUUCCUGUAAUCUUUGCCUGCUGUCUCCUUCGAAACGCACCACGGUCUAGCUUAAUUCUACCCACUAGGUCACCUCGAAGCCUGGGAUCGAUUCCACAGAAAUGAAUAGAAAGCGACUAAAGCAACAGCCGACCCCACCCACCAAGAUGGCAACGGUAUGGAGGGCAGCAUUAGCGGCGUGUGCCAGCCCAGGCUGGAGCUCCUGCAGCGGGUAAAUGGCUUCACAGGGACCUGCUGGCCUCCUGACGGGCUUGCAGAUGGCCUGAAGUUUGUUUUUCUCUCUCUCCUCAUGACGGGGCUGAGUCAGAGCACCGAUGGCAGCUCACGCAAUGGUGGCGCGCUGCCAGUUGGAGAAUCUGUGAUGGCGGUGCUCACUGACGCUGCACGAGCAGACACAAAUGCAUGCACGCCCACGCAUUCACAAAAUGCUUCGCUCAUAUUCAUACAUCACGUCUCCUCAUUUUCCCAACCUGACUGUCAGAGAAGGACUGUAAAAGUCAUCCAUCUAACUCCAGCUCUAUUGGAGUAUGUCAUUGGAGUGUGCAGGCUUUUGUUUUGCUGGUAUGUGCAGCUCGCGGGGAGAAAAUAAGGGCCAUUACUUGCUAGCAAGAGAAGUCGCACUGACAAACACCUGUAGGUGGGUUGAGUCUGUGUGCCACUAUGACAGAAUGCCAUAGAGACCUAAAUCAAUGCGGUCUGUUCAUGAACAUCCCUGCCUCUUACACGUCUGAGCAAUUUUUAACUGACCCUUUGCCCCUAGCGACUCUUCUGCCUUGUGCCUUUUUCUCUAAUUCACCUCGUUGGAGCCUCAUGGGAUGGAUGGAAGGCGCCACAGUCCUCCUCGCAGAGUAAAACUACACCUUUAAAUCACCAAAUGGGCUCCACCUUGUCUUAAAGGGACCAGUGAAUGCUGAUACAUCACUUGCAAAAUGAGCUCAGUCAAGAAUUGCUUAAAGAGGUUGCCAAUGUUUACUAAACUGUGGACUACCUUUGACUCUUGCUGCUGAUUUGUAUGGCGAUUCCUCCCGUUUUAAGUGUCUUUUGAUGACUUUUCAUUUUUAACCAGAAAUGUGCAUGCUACUUUUCUGAUGUUCAUUGAAUGUUUCCAUGUCUUUUUUUCAGUCGCCAAAUACAAUAACUUGAAAUGCGUGGAAUUUGGACUCAUUGCCACCAAAAGUGAGACACGUAAAUAAAUAAAUAAACAAACAAACGAACAAC